rnacentral:rRNA from 1 species
AAUGAACGCUGGCGGCAGGCCUAACACAUGCAAGUCGAACGAGGUAGCAAUACCUAGUGGCGGACGGGUGAGUAACACGUGGGAACGUACCCUUUGCUACGGAAUAGCCCUGGGAAACUGGGAGUAAUACCGUAUGAGCCCGAGAGGGGAAAGAUUUAUCGGCAAAGGAUCGGCCCGCGUUGGAUUAGGUAGUUGGUGGGGUAAUGGCCUACCAAGCCGACGAUCCAUAGCUGGUUUGAGAGGAUGAUCAGCCACACUGGGACUGAGACACGGCCCAGACUCCUACGGGAGGCAGCAGUGGGGAAUCUUAGACAAUGGGGGAAACCCUGAUCUAGCCAUGCCGCGUGAUCGAUGAAGGCCUUAGGGUUGUAAAGAUCUUUCAGGUGGGAAGAUAAUGACUGUACCACCAGAAGAAGCCCCGGCUAAACUCCGUGCCAGCAGCCGCGGU